rnacentral:rRNA from 1 species
AGAGUUUGAUCAUGGCUCAGAUUGAACGCUGGCGGCAGGCCUAACACAUGCAAGUCGAACGGUAACAGGAAGAAGCUUGCUUCUUUGCUGACGAGUGGCGGACGGGUGAGUAAUGUCUGGGAAACUGCCUGAUGGAGGGGGAUAACUACUGGAAACGGUAGCUAAUACCGCAUAACGUCGCAAGACCAAAGAGGGGGACCUUCGGGCCUCUUGCCAUCGGAUGUGCCCAGAUGGGAUUAGCUAGUAGGUGGGGUAACGGCUCACCUAGGCGACGAUCCCUAGCUGGUCUGAGAGGAUGACCAGCCACACUGGAACUGAGACACGGUCCAGACUCCUACGGGAGGCAGCAGUGGGGAAUAUUGCACAAUGGGCGCAAGCCUGAUGCAGCCAUGCCGCGUGUAUGAAGAAGGCCUUCGGGUUGUAAAGUACUUUCAGCGGGGAGGAAGGGAGUAAAGUUAAUACCUUUGCUCAUUGACGUUACCCGCAGAAGAAGCACCGGCUAACUCCGUGCCAGCAGCCGCGGUAAUACGGAGGGUGCAAGCGUUAAUCGGAAUUACUGGGCGUAAAGCGCACGCAGGCGGUUUGUUAAGUCAGAUGUGAAAUCCCCGGGCUCAACCUGGGAACUGCAUCUGAUACUGGCAAGCUUGAGUCUCGUAGAGGGGGGUAGAAUUCCAGGUGUAGCGGUGAAAUGCGUAGAGAUCUGGAGGAAUACCGGUGGCGAAGGCGGCCCCCUGGACGAAGACUGACGCUCAGGUGCGAAAGCGUGGGGAGCAAACAGGAUUAGAUACCCUGGUAGUCCCCGCCGUAAACGAUGUCGACUUGGAGGUUGUGCCCUUGAGGCGUGGCUUCCGGAGCUAACGCGUUAAGUCGACCGCCUGGGGAGUACGGCCGCAAGGUUAAAACUCAAAUGAAUUGACGGGGGCCCGCACAAGCGGUGGAGCAUGUGGUUUAAUUCGAUGCAACGCGAAGAACCUUACCUGGUCUUGACAUCCACGGAAGUUUUCAGAGAUGAGAAUGUGCCUUCGGGAACCGUGAGACAGGUGCUGCAUGGCUGUCGUCAGCUCGUGUUGUGAAAUGUUGGGUUAAGUCCCGCAACGAGCGCAACCCUUAUCCUUUGUUGCCAGCGGUCCGGCCGGGAACUCAAAGGAGACUGCCAGUGAUAAACUGGAGGAAGGUGGGGAUGACGUCAAGUCAUCAUGCCCCUUACGACCAGGGCUACACACGUGCUACAAUGGCGCAUACAAAGAGAAGCGACCUCGCGAGAGCAAGCGGACCUCAUAAAGUGCGUCGUAGUCCGGAUUGGAGUCUGCAACUCGACUCCAUGAAGUCGGAAUCGCUAGUAAUCGUGGAUCAGAAUGCCACGGUGAAUACGUUCCCGGGCCUUGUACACACCGCCCGUCACACCAUGGGAGUGGGUUGCAAAAGAAGUAGGUAGCUUAACCUUCGGGAGGGCGCUUACCACUUUGUGAUUCAUGACUGGGG